UACGGGAGGCAGCAGUGGGGAAUAUUGCACAAUGGGCGCAAGCCUGAUGCAGCCAUGCCGCGUGUAUGAAAAGGCCUUCGGGUUGUAAAGUACUUUCAGUCGUGAGGAAGGUGUUAAGGUUAAUAACCUUAGCAAUUGACGUUAGCGACAGAAGAAGCACCGGCUAACUCCGUGCCAGCAGCCGCGGUAAUACGGAGGGUGCGAGCGUUAAUCGGAAUUACUGGGCGUAAAGGGCACGCAGGCGGUUAAUUAAGUUGGAUGUGAAAUCCCCGGGCUUAACCUGGGAAUGGCAUUCAAGACUGGUUAGCUAGAGUCUUGUAGAGGGGGUAGAAUUCCAUGUGUAGCGGUGAAAUGCGUAGAGAUGUGGAGGAAUACCGGGUGGCUAAGGGCGGCCCCGUGGACAAAGGACUGACGCUCAUGUGCGAAAGCGUGGGGAGCAAACAGGGAUUAGAUACC
rnacentral:rRNA from 1 species